AUGCACGCUGGCGGCGUGCCUAAUACAUGCAAGUCGAGCGAACGGACGAGAAGCUUGCUUUUCUGAUGUUAGCGGCGGACGGGUGAGUAACACGUGGAUAACCUACCUAUAAGACUGGGAUAACUUCGGGAAACCGGAGCUAAUACCGGAUAAUAUUUUGAACCGCAUGGUUCAAAAGUGAAAGACGGUCUUGCUGUCACUUAUAGAUGGAUCCGCGCUGCAUUAGCUAGUUGGUAAGGUAACGGCUUACCAAGGCAACGAUGCAUAGCCGACCUGAGAGGGUGAUCGGCCACACUGGAACUGAGACACGGUCCAGACUCCUACGGGAGGCAGCAGUAGGGAAUCUUCCGCAAUGGGCGAAAGCCUGACGGAGCAACGCCGCGUGAGUGAUGAAGGUCUUCGGAUCGUAAAACUCUGUUAUUAGGGAAGGACAUAUGUGUAAGUAACUGUGCACAUCUUGACGGUACCUAAUCAGAAAGCCACGGCUAACUACGUG
rnacentral:rRNA from 1 species